GCUCCCAUGGCGUAGUGGUCACUGCGCUCGCCUUGCACGCGGGAGACCCAAGUUCGAUUCCCGGCGGGGUCA
rnacentral:tRNA from 1 species